rnacentral:rRNA from 1 species
CUUGCGGCGUGCUUAACACAUGCAAGUCGAACGGAAAGGCCCUGCUUUUGUGGGGUGCUCGAGUGGCGAACGGGUGAGUAACACGUGAGUAACCUGCCCUUGACUUUGGGAUAACUUCAGGAAACUGGGGCUAAUACCGGAUAGGAGCUCCUGCUGCAUGGUGGGGGUUGGAAAGUUUCGGCGGUUGGGGAUGGACUCGCGGCUUAUCAGCUUGUUGGUGGGGUAGUGGCUUACCAAGGCUUUGACGGGUAGCCGGCCUGAGAGGGUGACCGGCCACAUUGGGACUGAGAUACGGCCCAGACUCCUACGGGAGGCAGCAGUGGGGAAUAUUGCACAAUGGGCGGAAGCCUGAUGCAGCAACGCCGCGUGCGGGAUGACGGCCUUCGGGUUGUAAACCGCUUUCGCCUGUGACGAAGCGUGAGUGACGGUAAUGGGUAAAGAAGCACCGGCUAACUACGUGCCAGCAGCCGCGGUGAUACGUAGGGUGCGAGCGUUGUCCGGAUUUAUUGGGCGUAAAGGGCUCGUAGGUGGUUGAUCGCGUCGGAAGUGUAAUCUUGGGGCUUAACCCUGAGCGUGCUUUCGAUACGGGUUGACUUGAGGAAGGUAGGGGAGAAUGGAAUUCCUGGUGGAGCGGUGGAAUGCGCAGAUAUCAGGAGGAACACCAGUGGCGAAGGCGGUUCUCUGGGCCUUUCCUGACGCUGAGGAGCGAAAGCGUGGGGAGCGAACAGGCUUAGAUACCCUGGUAGUCCACGCUGUAAACGGUGGGUACUAGGUGUGGGGUCCAUUCCACGGGUUCCGUGCCGUAGCUAACGCUUUAAGUACCCCGCCUGGGGAGUACGGCCGCAAGGCUAAAACUCAAAGGAAUUGACGGGGCCCCGCACAAGCGGCGGAGCAUGCGGAUUAAUUCGAUGCAACGCGUAGAACCUUACCUGGGUUUGACAUGGAUCGGGAGUGCUCAGAGAUGGGUGUGCCUCUUUUGGGGUCGGUUCACAGGUGGUGCAUGGCUGUCGUCAGCUCGUGUCGUGAGAUGUUGGGUUAAGUCCCGCAACGAGCGCAACCCUUGUUCACUGUUGCCAGCACGUUAUGGUGGGGACUCAGUGGAGACCGCCGGGGUCAACCCGGAGGAAGGUGGGGAUGACGUCAAGUCAUCAUGCCCCUUAUGUCCAGGGCUUCACGCAUGCUACAAUGGCUGGUACAGAGAGUGGCGAGCCUGUGAGGGUGAGCGAAUCUCGGAAAGCCGGUCUCAGUUCGGAUUGGGGUCUGCAACUCGACCUCAUGAAGUCGGAGUCGCUAGUAAUCGCAGAUCAGCAACGCUGCGGUGAAUACGUUCCCGGGGCUUGUACACACCGCCCGUCAAGUCAUGAAAGUUGGUAACACCCGAAGCCGGUGGCCUAACCGUUGUGGGGGAGCCGUCGAAGGUGGGACUGGUGAUUAGGACUAAG